GGCAGUGUGGCUUAGUGGUUUGAGCAUUAGACUACAAUGCCAGAGACCAGAGUUCAAUUCCCAUCUCAGCCA